rnacentral:rRNA from 1 species
AACGAACGCUGGCGGCAGGCCUAACACAUGCAAGUCGAGCGAGGACUUCGGUCCUAGCGGCGGACGGGUGAGUAACGCGUGGGAACGUGCCCUUUGGUACGGAAUAGCCCCGGGAAACUGGGAGUAAUACCGUAUGGNGUCUUCGGACUAAAGAUUUAUCGCCAAAGGAUCGGCCCGCGUUGGAUUAGGUAGUUGGUGGGGUAAUGGCCUACCAAGCCGACGAUCCAUAGCUGGUUUGAGAGGAUGAUCAGCCACACUGGGACUGAGACACGGCCCAGACUCCUACGGGAGGCAGCAGUGGGGAAUCUUAGACAAUGGGGGCAACCCUGAUCUAGCCAUGCCGCGUGAGUGAUGAAGGCCCUAGGGUUGUAAAGCUCUUUCAGCUGGGAAGAUAAUGACGGUACCAGCAGAAGAAGCCCCGGCUAACUCCGCG